UAAUAGAAUGCAAGUCGAGCGAACAGAAGGGAGCUUGCUCCCGGAUGUUAGCGGCGGACGGGUGAGUAACACGUGGGUAACCUGCCUGUAAGACUGGGAUAACUCCGGGAAACCGGAGCUAAUACCGGAUAGUUCCUUGAACCGCAUGGUUCAAGGAUGAAAGACGGUUUCGGCUGUCACUUACAGAUGGACCCGCGGCGCAUUAGCUAGUUGGUGGGGUAAUGGCUCACCAAGGCGACGAUGCGUAGCCGACCUGAGAGGGUGAUCGGCCACACUGGGACUGAGACACGGCCCAGACUCCUACGGGAGGCAGCAGUAGGGAAUCUUCCGCAAUGGACGAAAGUCUGACGGAGCAACGCCGCGUGAGUGAUGAAGGUUUUCGGAUCGUAAAGCUCUGUUGUUAGGGAAGAACAAGUGCGAGAGUAACUGCUCGCACCUUGACGGUACCUAACCAGAAAGCCACGGCUAACUACGUGCCAGCAGCCGCGGUAAUACGUAGGUGGCAAGCGUUGUCCGGAAUUAUUGGGCGUAAAGGGCUCGCAGGCGGUUUCUUAAGUCUGAUGUGAAAGCCCCCGGCUCAACCGGGGAGGGUCAUUGGAAACUGGGAAACUUGAGUGCAGAAGAGGAGAGUGGAAUUCCACGUGUAGCGGUGAAAUGCGUAGAGAUGUGGAGGAACACCAGUGGCGAAGGCGACUCUCUGGUCUGUAACUGACGCUGAGGAGCGAAAGCGUGGGGAGCGAACAGGAUUAGAUACCCUGGUAGUCCACGCCGUAAACGAUGAGUGCUAAGUGGUUAGGGGGUUUCCGCCCCUUAGUGCUGCAGCUAACGCAUUAAGCACUCCGCCUGGGGAGUACGGUCGCAAGACUGAAACUCAAAGGAAUUGACGGGGGCCCGCACAGCGGUGGAAGCAUGUGGUUUAAUUCGAAGCACGCGAAAACCUUACAGGUCUUGACUCCUCUGACACCCUAGAGAUAGGC
rnacentral:rRNA from 1 species